CCUACGGGAGGCAACAGUAGGGAAUCUUCCACAAUGGGCGAAAGCCUGAUGGAGCAACGCCGCGUGGGUGAAGAAGGUCUUCGGAUCGUAAAACCCUGUUGUUAGAGAAGAAAGUGCGUGAGAGUAACUGUUCACGUUUCGACGGUAUCUAACCAGAAAGCCACGACUAACUACGUGCCAGCAGCCGCGGUAAUACGUAGGUGGCAAGCGUUAUCCGGAUUUAUUGGGCGUAAAGGGAACGCAGGCGGUCUUUUAAGUCUGAUGUGAAAGCCUUCGGCUUAACCGGAGUAGUGCAUUGGAAACUGGGAGACUGGAGUGCAGAAGAGGAGAGUGGAACUACAUGUGUAGCGGUGAAAUGCGUAGAUAUAUGGAAGAACACCAGUGGCGAAAGCGGCUCUCUGGUCUGUAACUGACGCUGAGGUUCGAAAGCGUGGGUAGCAAACAGGAUUAGAUACCCCAGUAGUC
rnacentral:rRNA from 1 species